rnacentral:rRNA from 1 species
ACGCUCGACACCUACGGGAGCAGCAGUGGGGAAUAUUGCACAAUGGGGGAAACCCUGAUGCAGCGACGCCGCGUGAGUGAAGAGGUAUUUCGGUAUGUAAAGCUCUAUCAGCAGGGAAGAAAAUGACGGUACCUGAGUAAGAAGCCCCGGCUAACUACGUGCUAGCAGCCGCGGUAAUCUGAGCGGGCUGGCAAGGC